GAUGAACGCUAGCGGCAGGCUUAAUACAUGCAAGUCGUGGGGCAGCAUGGGGUAGCAAUACCCUGAUGGCGACCGGCAAACGGGUGCGGAACACGUACGCAACCUUCCUUUAACUGGAGAAUAGCCCCUCGAAAGAGGGAUUAAUACUCCGUAAUAUCCCGAUAUGGCAUCAUAAUGGGAUUAUAGCUCCGGCGGUUAGAGAUGGGCGUGCGCCUGAUUAGGUAGGGUCGGGGUAAGUGGCCCACCAAGCCUGCGAUCAGUAACUGGUGUGAGAGCACGACCAGUCACACGGGCACUGAGAC
rnacentral:rRNA from 1 species